rnacentral:rRNA from 1 species
UACGUAGGGGCCUAGCGUUGUCCGGAUUUAUUGGGCGUAAAGAGCUCGUAGGCGGUUCGGUAAGUCAGGUGUGAAAUCUCCACGCUCAACGUGGAGGCGCCACCUGAAACUGCCGUGACUCGAGUCCGGUAGGGGAGUGUGGAAUUCCCGGUGUAGCGGUGAAAUGCGCAGAUAUCGGGGGGAACACCAAUGGCGAAGGCAGCUUGCUGGGACGGUACGUGACGCUGGAGGAGCGAAAGCGUGGGGAGCGAACAGG